UUGUUUUAUUGCAGUAAAGAGACACCAAGGAAAGCAACUGCUGAUUGCAGCAAGACAAGGUGUAGAACAACAUAGUACGUCAGUGAAUGGGUUAUUGACUGAGCACAAAUAAGCAUCACUAUCUACACCACUAAGAACCAUUAUUUACCAUUCUGUGCAUAUAUGUGAUCUGGUGGUGAAGUCAACUGAGAAUGCUAAAUAUCUCAUUCGUCUGAAUGCCUCAAUGCUAAUAAGUUCUGCCUUUCAGCAAGUGUUUUAAAGGCCAGUAGGCUGUCCAAUCAGUGUUAAUUUCCAGUGCUAAUUUAGAUUUCUUUUGAGGGAUAGGAAAGACUAGGAAAGAGUAAAGAGCUUUUCAUGAACUAGACUUCAGACCUGCAGUUUGAAAACCUUAAGAUUAAAAAGAUGGCGUCAUCAGCAAUACAUGGGUGUUUAUGUCGUACAUACUUCAUUAUUUCUUUUUCUUUCAGGUUUUUUCUUUGUUCGUACAGAUGAUUGAAAUUAACAGUAGAACCUUGCUUCUGUAACAAAAAUUGAAAUAAACAGUUUAAAAAUAACAGUUUAUAAUAAUUUUAGGUACGAUAUUAAGUUGCAACUGUUCUUGUACUUUAAGCAGCUGCUUUAUAGAUUGACCUGUUAUAUCAUGAGACUGAUCUUUGCAUAUUGUCUUAGUCAUAGUCUUGCACACUCAUCGACUGCAUGUACUGAACACUGAAGUUCCCCAGUCAAAAAAGUGAAAAAAGGUAAAGUACUUCAUACUAAUUUUGUUCAAAAUCUUUGAGUUCAUUCCUCAUUUUUAAAAGCUCAGCGAGAGUUUUCUCACACUGCAGGGCUGACUCAGCUAUAAGAUGUGCGGCCUUUACAUCCUCUGUCAGUUCGUUUAUUUCAUUUCGAAGUCCCUGAAACUUUUCAAUGUCUGAAAGAGUUGUUUUUGCUUGUGCUCCAGAUGCUGUUCUUACAAAGGAGGAGUUUUCAUUCAGUUCAUCCGAGAAUGUGACGAUAUCAUCCAGGAUGGUCUUCUGUGCUCCGAUAAUGGUCAUGAAUUCUUCAACCAAAGCUUUCAAACUUUUCAUCAUGUCCUGCUCUCCGUUCAGCCAUCUUUCGUGUUCCAUCUCUGACAAUGCUCACUUUCAUCUGGUUGCUGGUUCGUUUUGGCAGUUCAGUCCCUCACAGCUUCAGUCCACACUACUCACCUGCCAGCCCUCCGCCCACAGUCAUUGCACUCCACGGAUUCCCUGCCCUGGAACCUGGCUGCCUCACCCCGGACCUCUCGACCCCCCUUUUGCCAGUUCUCCACCUGCAAACUUGUACUGACUCCCUGUUGCAUUUCCUGAAGCCCAUGCUCUUCCCCAGGUGCCUGAGUUUAAGAUUAACUUAGUGAAUUUAGUUUCUCUUAUGUUCUCUGUAAUCGAGUUUGCUUUUAGUCAUAGUUUAUUAUUAAUCUCACAGCUCUAGUAAAUCUUAGU